AUUCGCACACCAAAUAAUUCGAAUUUUGUGUUCUGAUUUUCCACAACACUAGCUUUUCUAUAUACCCCUUUUAGUACUAUGAUACGCAUGCAUAUCUCUUCGGUUCUCAAACAAGAACUGCAUAUCUUUCAGUUUGCAUUGUGGAUAAUGUGCAAUGUACGGUUGGUGUUGAAAGUAUAAAGUGUAGGCAGAUCAAUAUGAAAGUUUGCUUGGUUUUGAUUCCAAUCAUGAAUUUUUGAUAAUUAGAGAGAAGGAUGUUGGGUAAAGAUCUUUGCCUAGAUCGAUGUAGUCAUAUAGGCUGGGUUAUCUUCUAGCAAAAGUAUAGCAACAAUUUCUUCUUUGCCUAUUCCUCUUUUUUCUUUUCUGUUUCUUUCUUUUCUCAAUGUUGAACUUACCUGUAUGAUGAUUGUAAUGAGCUACUCCCUCCGUUCCUAAAUAUUUGUCUUUCUAGAGAUUUCAACAAGUGACUACAUACGAGCAAAAUGAGUGAAUUUACACUCUAAAAUAUGUCUAUAUACAUCCGUAUGUGGUAGUCCAUUUGAAAAAUCUCUAAAAAGACAAAUAUUUAGGAACAGAGGGAGUAGAUUGUAAAGACUGGACAUUCUGGAUUUAGAAGAAUGCAAUGAUCAAUUUUUUGUGCAACUGCAGAUGCAAUGCACAACGAAGCAAAAAAUAGAUAAUCCUAGGCUCGAUCUUUCCAAUAGAUACUUAUUAUGUCACUUUUCUCAAUCUGUUUGGCAUGUUUUAUUAUCUUUUUCUCUAGCCCAUGAAGGUUUCGAGAUGGAGGCCUGUGAGGAGGAUUUCAGGGGAGAUCAUACUAUGACUAUGACAAGAGGCUGAGAUUUGACUUGCACUGUAUUGAAAAGCAGGUUCAGGAGCUCCAAGCCAAUAAACGCCAGAGCUUUGAAAAAGAUGAUUGUAGAAGCUUUUUGUGUGUUUUCUCACUGGAGCAGCUCUCUGCGCCUUAUGAAAGUAGUUUGGAAAUAUGAGUGAGAAGUGUUGUAUUGUUAUGUUUUUUGUUAAUUUCAGGGGAGAAGAGAACUCCAGUUUUGGCAAUGUUCGUGAUUCAGAUUCACCAUGAUUGAUACUGUACAAUGCCAUACAAUAUUUACGUAUUCCCAUCAUGAACUAUUUCAUCCUAUUUUUGUUUCGGUAAAGUACAAUGUUCCUAUUAAGCUGUAGUAGUUGAAAUUUUGUGUACAGUCAUGUAAUUUACCAUUGGAGACUUUACACAUGUGUAAGAAAAUUAAAUAAUA